GAGUUUGAUCCUGGCUCAGGAUGAACGCUGGCGGCGUGCCUAAUACAUGCAAGUCGAACGAGGUUUCGACGAGUGAACGAAGUGCUUGCACUGAAUGAUCUUGUUGAGACUGAGUGGCGGACGGGUGAGUAACACGUGGGUAACCUGCCCUUAAGUGGGGGAUAACAUUUGGAAACAGAUGCUAAUACCGCAUAAACUCAAAGAUCACAGGGUCUUUGGUUGAAAGAUGGCGUAAGCUAUCGCUUUUGGAUGGACCCGCGGCGUAUUAGCUAGUUGGUAAGGUAAAGGCCUACCAAGGCAAUGAUACGUAGCCGACCUGAGAGGGUGAUCGGCCACAUUGGGACUGAGACACGGCCCAAACUCCUACGGGAGGCAGCAGUAGGGAAUCUUCCACAAUGGACGCAAGUCUGAUGGAGCAACGCCGCGUGAGUGAAGAAGGCUUUCGGGUCGUAAAACUCUGUUGUUGGAGAAGAAUGGUCGGCAGAGUAACUGUUGUCGGCGUGACGGUAUCCAACCAGAAAGCCACAGCUAACUACGUGCCAGCAGCCGCGGUAAUACGUAGGUGGCAAGCGUUAUCCGGAUUUAUUGGGCGUAAAGCGAGCGCAGGCGGUUUCUUAAGUCUGAUGUGAAAGCCUUCGGCUUAACCGAAGAAGUGCAUCGGAAACUGGGAAACUUGAGUGCAGAAGAGGACAGUGGAACUCCAUGUGUAGCGGUGAAAUGCGUAGA
rnacentral:rRNA from 1 species